UAGGGAAUCUUCGGCAAUGGGGGCAACCCUGACCGAGCAACGCCGCGUGAGUGAAGAAGGUUUUCGGAUCGUAAAGCUCUGUUGUAAGAGAAGAACGUGUGUGAGAGUGGAAAGUUCACACAGUGACGGUAACUUACCAGAAAGGGACGGCUAACUACGUGCCAGCAGCCGCGGUAAUACGUAGGUCCCGAGCGUUGUCCGGAUUUAUUGGGCGUAAAGCGAGCGCAGGCGGUUUAAUAAGUCUGAAGUUAAAGGCAGUGGCUUAACCAUUGUUCGCUUUGGAAACUGUUAAACUUGAUUGCAGAAGGGGAGAGUGGAAGUCCAUGUGUAGCGGUGAAAUGCGUAGAUAUAUGGAGGGACACCGGUGGCGAAAGCGGCUCUCUGGUCUGUAACUGACGCUGAGGCUCGAAAGCGUGGGGAGCAAACAGG
rnacentral:rRNA from 1 species